CGCCUUUAAAUGCUAAUGAGAGCCGGUGCCCAACUCCGGAGCCAACUUUCCCCACCCUCUUCCCUCGCCGCCCGCCCGCCCUUCCCUUCCCUCCCCGGCCCCGUGCGCCGCCUAGAAAAACUUGCGCGGGGCCAUUUUUGGGGCAGUAAGAUCCGAGCGAGGAGCCCAAGAGCGAGCGAGCGCGCAGCCCGAGAGCUCGAGCCGCCUCCGCCGCGAGCCCCACCCCGGCCGCCGCCGCCGCCGCCGCCGCGAGCCCCGCGCCGGCCUCCCCGAGAGCGCGCCCGGCCGCCGCGACCACCAGCCGCGCCAACCGCCCACCAACCGCCACCGACGCGCCCGACUGAGAGCCGAGGAGGCGGCAUGAGCGAGGCGGGCGAGGCCACCACCACCACCACCACCAGCGCCGCCGCCACCACCGCCCUCCCGCAGGCUCCGGCGGAGGCGGCCGCCGCGGUCCCCCAAGACCCCGCGCCCAAGAGCCCGGGCGGCGGCGGCGCGCCCCAGGCCGCGGCCACGGCGCCCGCGGUGCUCGCCGCGGGGAACCCGGGCGGGGACGCGACCCCCGCGCCCACGGGCCCCGCGGCCCCCGCCUCUUCGGCCCCCACCGGCAACGAAGACGCGGAGAAGAAAGUUCUCGCCACCAAAGUCCUUGGCACUGUCAAAUGGUUCAACGUCAGAAAUGGAUAUGGGUUUAUAAAUCGAAAUGACACCAAAGAAGAUGUGUUUGUGCAUCAGACUGCCAUCAAGAAGAAUAACCCACGGAAAUACCUGCGCAGUGUAGGAGAUGGAGAAACUGUGGAGUUCGAUGUGGUUGAAGGAGAGAAGGGUGCCGAAGCAGCCAACGUGACUGGCCCAGAUGGAGUUCCUGUAGAAGGGAGCCGUUAUGCUGCUGAUCGGCGCCGUUACAGACGCGGUUACUAUGGCAGACGCCGUGGACCUCCCCGUAAUUACGCUGGGGAGGAGGAGGAGGAAGGGAGCGGCAGCAGUGAAGGAUUUGACCCCCCUGCCACUGACGGGCAGUUCUCUGGGGCCAGGAGUCAGCUGCGCCGCCCCCAGUAUCGCCCUCAGUACCGGCGGCGGUUCCCGCCUUACCACGUGGGACAGACCUUUGACCGUCGCUCACGGGUCUAUCCCCAUCCCAACAGAAUGCAGAAAGGAAGGGGGAGAGAGCUAGAAACAUCAAGGAUUAGAGAAUUGUUGACCGGCUGCCUUCUGCAGCCCGUGCAUGUGCCCUUAACCGGAAUCGAACUCGGAACUCUUCAGUCCAUAGGACACCAAGUAGAAAUUGAGGAACUGUGUCAGAGAGACAGCUAAAUUCAAGGCAUGGUGCUCAGUGGGUCUUUUUUGCUCUAAAGGACAUUAUUGGUGAGACUUGAAUGGGGUCUGAGGAUUAGAUUCUACGUUUGUUAUUAUUUCAAAAUAAAGUAAUUGAAAACUAGGGGUGUUAUUUCAGCAUGUUCAUGGGCUUGGGUGGAAACAAUGGAGCAAAGAGGGAAGAAAAUACACAGUGAAGCGGGGGAUAAGGAGAGGGGUUAGCCAUGGAUAUGAGCUUGGACCACUUAGCCAGUGUAAUGAGAGAAGACGAUUAUUAUAAAUACAGGUAGCUUAGUAGAUUCUGUAGUGAAACGAUAUAGAAAAUAUUUUCUGAUUGCUUCAUGAAAUGGAGAAGAAAGGUGUUAGUUUUGAGGGGGGAGAAGAUGUUUGAGAUUGUGACUAUUUUGUAAUGAAUUUUAGAGAUUGUUGGAAUUUCAGAGGUUGGUCGGUGGGUUUUUAAUUUUUUUUUAUUUUAGUUUUUUGUUCAUUUGUUUUUAGUUUUUAUUCUUCCCCUAGAAGUUCUACAGUAAAGUUAUUUUUUCCCCUACAGAUUACAAUAAAUUUAUCACCAAGAAAGUGUACUUUAUUUUUUUAAAUGUUAUGCUUAAAUAGUGCAAAUAAAUACUAGGAAGAAAUUGUGAAAGGAAAAAAUCAGGUGAAAGCAUGAUUAUAAGGUGUGAGAAAUUUUGAAUUAGAAGCCAUUAGUGAUAUUGAAGGGAUACCCAGUUUGUAGAAUUAGCAGGUCUGAGUUUGAAAAGAUUCUUAUUGCUCAAAAGCAGUUGUUUUUUUUUUAAAAGAGAUGAAUGGAGCACUUUAAAUGUUAAAUUAAUAUUGUGAAAUGAAAUUAGUUGCUCUGGAGUAAGGCAGAAUACUGUUAUAAGUGGGAAUGAGUUUUUCUUUUCUAUCCUUCAUGAAGAUCUAGUCAGAAAAUAGCUUACUGUUACAAUUAGUUGAUAGUUCCCAGCUUUGUAAGGAAGCAUUUUUCUUACUUUUCAAGAAUUCUGAAUACAGCCGUGUGCUCUUUCGAUUUUAAUUUUUUCCAGGUGACCUAAAGAAUUAAUGACCAUUCAAAAAAAAAAACGAAACAAAAAGCAGACAUGACCUUACCAACACCAAAGAAACAGCCAAGCAAUAAAGUGGAAGACUAAUAACCAAGAUGUGGACAUUGGAAUGUUUACGGAUUAUUCUUUACGAAACAAGUACAAAACGAGAAUGUCAGCCAAUGUUUCCAGCAAUUUUUCUGGAAUCCCUGCACAGAAAGCAAGAGAGCAACCUCCCCAGUUUCGGCAACCACUAGGUUUAUAUUUUUUUCCUGGUUUUUACUGUUUUGGUAAUAUGAAUUGAAAGAAGAAAUAUUAAUACCACAUGGGGAGAACCCCAACCAAAGAAAUCUGAAAUAUAUAGUAAAUGCUUUUUUGUUCCCUUUUCUAGUUCAUUUUGGAUGCUGGUGCUAAACUUCCAAGUGUCAUGAUUUAAAAAGAAAUUUUAUGCUCUUCUUAUUUAUUUCUAGAUGAGGGGAGGAUAACAUUUUUGCUUUCUUAUGCGACUCUCUGAAAAUGUGCAGCAUGAAGUUCCUCAAAAAAUAAAAUUUUUAUCCUUGAAAGGA